rnacentral:tRNA from 1 species
AUUUAUAUAGUUUAAUAAAAACAUUACAUUUUCAUUGUAAAAUUAAGAAUUCUUUUCUUUAUAAAUA